GAUGAACGCUGGCGGCGUGCUUAACACAUGCAAGUCGAACGGAAAGGCUCCUGCUUGCAGGGGUACUCGAGUGGCGAACGGGUGAGUAACACGUGGGUGAUCUGCCCUGCACUUCGGGAUAAGCCUGGGAAACUGGGUCUAAUACCGGAUAGGACCACAUUUUGGAUGGUGUGGUGGAAAGUUUUUCGGUGUGGGAUGAGCUCGCGGCCUAUCAGCUUGUUGGUGGGGUAAUGGCCUACCAAGGCGUCGACGGUAGCCGGCCUGAGAGGGUGUACGGCCACAUUGGGACUGAGAUACGGCCCAGACUCCUACGGGAGGCAGCAGUGGGGAAUAUUGCACAAUGGGCGCAAGCCUGAUGCAGCGACGCCGCGUGGGGGAUGACGGCCUUCGGGUUGUAAACUCCUUUCGCUAGGGACGAAGCGCAAGUGACGGUACCUGGAGAAGAAGCACCGGCUAACUACGUG
rnacentral:rRNA from 1 species